rnacentral:rRNA from 1 species
UACGUAGGGGGCAAGCGUUGUCCGGAUUUAUUGGGCGUAAAGAGCGUGUAGGCGGCCUGAAAGGUCAGCUGUGAAAACUCGAGGCUCAACCUCGAGACGUCGGUUGAAACCAUCUGGCUAGAGUCCGGAAGAGGAGUGUGGAAUUCCCGGUGUAGCGGUGAAAUGCGCAGAUAUCAGGAAGAACACCCGUGGCGAAGGCGGCUCUCUGGAACGCAACUGACGCUGAGACGCGAAAGCGUGGGGAGCAAACAGG